rnacentral:rRNA from 1 species
AGGACGAACGCUGGCGGCGUGCUUAACACAUGCAAGUCGAGCGGAAAGGCCCUUCGGGGUACUCGAGCGGCGAACGGGUGAGUAACACGUGGGCAACCUGCCCCUAGCUCUGGGAUAACUCCGGGAAACCGGUGCUAAUACCGGAUACGACCUCAUUAGGCAUCCUUUGAGGUGGAAAGAUUUAUUGGCUAGGGAUGGGCCCGCGGCCUAUCAGCUUGUUGGUGGGGUAAUGGCCUACCAAGGCGACGACGGGUAGCCGGCCUGAGAGGGCGACCGGCCACACUGGGACUGAGACACGGCCCAGACUCCUACGGGAGGCAGCAGUGGGGAAUAUUGCGCAAUGGGCGAAAGCCUGACGCAGCGACGCCGCGUGAGGGAUGACGGCCUUCGGGUUGUAAACCUCUUUCAGCAGGGACGAAGCGAAAGUGACGGUACCUGCAGAAGAAGCGCCGGCCAACUACGUGCCAGCAGCCGC